rnacentral:lncRNA from 1 species
CCAUGGAACAAAAAACAGCCAGAAAAAUUAGCUUGAAAGGACCAUCUAUACGAAAUUCACCCUGAAGAUACGUCUUGAAGAAUAUAAAAUAACAUGCACAAAGUACAUCAUUAUAGCAUAAUAUUGGGGAAAAUCCCAAAUAUCAAAUUAUAGGGAUUGGUUGAGUAAAUUCUGAUAGAUCCAUAAAAUGAAGAACUAUGGAGCCAUAAAAAAGAAUAAAGUGUAUCUCUAUAAUCGGAAUAACUAGAAGACAAAGAAGUUAAGUACAUACAUAUGU